rnacentral:lncRNA from 1 species
GUGGGCUCUUGCUGAAUUCUGAACCACUGAACCUUCUUACAAGACAUCAAGGUUGCUGUCACACAGCAGAGAAUAUUGAAUUGAAACAUGAAGCAUGAAGCUCAUGACAUCAAGUUUUUGGUGUGAUCAGGAAAAAAUUGUUUACCAUAGUUCUAGAUUACUCUUUUUUUAUUCCUGAAAAUUUCAUGGAAUAUUUAGUAUUUAUAGUAUUGCACAAAGUGUUUUUCAAAUGUGUGACACACAGAGACAUUAGACAUUUGCAAUUUCAAAUGCCAGGGACAAGAUGUGCAUCUGCCUUAUGAACUGAGAAGUUGGCCUUUGUGAACAGGUGUGGUAGGUUUUUUAAUGGCCACAAAUUCCUCCAGUUUCUGUACUGGGCCCUUUUGCAAUAUGGCUUUUCAUUCGGAAGUGGAGUCUUUUUAUCUAUACCUUGACUCUGGGCUGACUUUUUAUUUGUUUGACCAAUAAAAUGUGCCAAAAGUAACAUUCUGUGAAUUCUAGGGGCUAGGACUUAAGAGGCGUUGCAGUUUCUGCCUUUGCAUUUCCUGGAACACUACCCUGAGACCUCCACAUGAAGAAACUUCUGCUUACUGGAGGUUGAGAAGCCAAGUGGUAACCUGAGGCUUCCCAGGUGACAGCCAGAACCAAGUAUCGGACAUAAGUAGAGAAGUGCCUGACUCUUUGUGGAAUCAUAUCCAGCCCACCACACCUGGUCGUCUUACCUCAUCAGCAUGUGGAUGUUACUAAAGUGUGGAGGGAAGGAAGCUAAGCUGGAGAGACAUUCUGCUUGUAUCCUGAAUGUUCAAAUGCUAUCUUCCAAGGAAACAGACUAUGAGACAAAACAGAGAUUAGAGAAUGUUGUGACGUCUAGGAAAGGCUCUGUUUGUACCUGCUUAUCUGAGAAGAUUGCUGUUGAAGUGAAGCUGUUGGAGGUGGAGUGGCUUCGUUUGUUAGCUCUUGAAGUCAAAGACAGUGUCCAGCUCAACGAUGGAAC